UACGUAGGGCGCGAGCGUUGUCCGGAAUUAUUGGGCGUAAAGCGUACGCAGACGGUAAGAAAGGUCGGAUGUGAAAGCCCCGGGCUCAACCCGGGAACUGCAUCCGAAACCAUCUUGCUAGAGUAUGAGAGAGGGAAGCGGAAUUCCUGGUGUAGCGGUGAAAUGCGCAGAUAUCAGGAGGAACACCAAUUGCGAAGGCAGCUCGCUGGGACGUUACUGACGCUGAGACGCGAAAGCGUGGGGAGCAAACAGG
rnacentral:rRNA from 1 species